AUGACGUAUAAUCAGACCCCUGAGUUUUUCAGAAUAGGAAUCGGCUAUAAGUAGACAAACUAACUUUCUAACUCAAUCCUCCUGCAAAUAUCCAACAUAGAAACCUAAUCAUUCUUCUCCUUUUCCCCUCCAUGAUUGUAUAUCCAUUGAUUGUAUGCCCUGCUCUUGCCUAUUUCCCCUAGAACCUCUCUCUCUCUCUCUCUCUCUCUCUCUCAUGGCCACAUCCGAGACCUCAUCAUCGCCAGAAACUUCGUCUCCAACCAGUAGUACUCCAAAGGUUCAGAUUGUUUCGAAAUCUUUAUCCGACAGACUACUAGGCAAAUACUUUGAUGCUUCGGAGUUCGACUUCGAUUACGAACAGAGCGGGCUGUGGUCUCCGCCGGUUCCUCGACGGGUGUUCUUGGACUCUCCCGCGGGUAACAUCUGCUCCGACGACCACUUCUUUGCCAGGCUCAUGACUGUGAAGAAGGCUCACUGGCUAAUUUCAAGCCUCAGCUUUUGUUUCAGUGCCUUUUGCAGCUCUUAAAGGAGAACAUGGAGCCUUCUUCAAAAUGCAAUUUUAUCCAAAAGCUUGUUUUGCUAUGGAUAUCACUAUCUACACAGAGAUUGGGCAAUUUCAUUCAAACUACUGAGCCAAAAGUUCAGUCAAAGCCCCGGGAUGUGUAGCUUUGUAUUUGCAAUGUACUUAUUGUAUCUAUAUAUAAUUGGGUAUAUUGAUCA